rnacentral:lncRNA from 1 species
UUCCUUAUCUCUUUGGGGUAUAAACCCAGCAGUGAUAUAGCUGGAUAAAAAGGCAGACAGUCUCCCCUCUUUUUUGAAGGACUAGAGGGGUAUUGAACUCCUCCCAAUGCCUUUCCUUAUAGCAGGCAGAAAGUGAAAUGCAAGCACAUUCCACUUUGUAUCUGCUGCCCUUAUUGGUUUCAGCUCCACCAAACAAGUUGUCCCUACUCCAGGUAUCCCUUGGUGUCCACCCUACCCCUUCUCCUUCUUUUGUAUUGUUUUCCCCCAUUCGAUUGUAAGCUCCUUGAGAGCAGAGACUUAUAUUUUUCUUAAUUAUAUCUUCAGCAUAAUGUCUGGCAUGUAGUAGGAACAUGAAAAAUAUCUAUUGAAUUGAGUUUACAUUCUGUUGGGAAUGGGAAGGACACCAAGUACAGUGGUUGGGCUGUUCAACAAGAAAAAGCACCACAAGACCAGUAUGAACAGAUUCUUCCCCCACCCGAAGUUUUUAGAGUCAUCAAAGCCCAGUGGCAAAACAAAAGUCAGCUUCUUGGAGCCACACAAGAGAGUUGGGUGAAAAAUAGACAACAAAGGUGGGUGAGCAGCCCUGAAAAGUGCUUGACAAGCCUUCACACUAGAGGUGCUAACCCUCUUUGAACACCCCAUGUACCCUUAUGAGUGGAGUAGAGAAAGUGUUAUUCUAACACCCUUACCACUGAGCCAGAGAGAGAUUAAGUGACUUGCACAUACUCACACUGGUAUUAUUAGUAGAAUAAGAA